CCUACGGGAGACAGCAGUGAGGAAUAUUGGUCAAUGGACGAGAGUCUGAACCAGCCAAGUAGCGUGAAGGAUGACUGCCCUAUGGGUUGUAAACUUCUUUUAUAUGGGAAUAAACUGUUCCACGUGUGGGAUUUUGUAUGUACCAUAUGAAUAAGGAUCGGCUAACUCCGUGCCAGCAGCCGCGGUAAUACGGAGGAUCCGAGCGUUAUCCGGAUUUAUUGGGUUUAAAGGGAGCGUAGGUGGAUUGUUAAGUCAGUUGUGAAAGUUUGCGGCUCAACCGUAAAAUUGCAGUUGAAACUGGCAGUCUGGAGUACAGUAGAGGUGGGCGGAAUUCGUGGUGUAGCGGUGAAAUGCUUAGAUAUCACGAAGAACUCCGAUUGUGAAGGCAGCUCACUGGACUGCAACUGACACUGAGGCUCGAAAGUGUGGGUAUCAAACAGGAUUAGAUACCCCAGUAGUC
rnacentral:rRNA from 1 species